CAGUAGCCACGGUAAUACAGAGGGUGCGAGCGUUAAUCGGAUUUACUGGGCGUAAAGCGUGCGUAGGCGGCUUCUUAAGUCGGAUGUGAAAUCCCUGAGCUUAACUUAGGAAUUGCAUUCGAUACUGGGAAGCUAGAGUAUGGGAGAGGAUGGUAGAAUUCCAGGUGUAGCGGUGAAAUGCGUAGAGAUCUGGAGGAAUACCGAUGGCGAAGGCAGCCAUCUGGCCUAAUACUGACGCUGAGGUACGAAAGCAUGGGGAGCAAACAGGAUUAGAUACCCCAGUAGUCCCUGUCUCUAUACA
rnacentral:rRNA from 1 species